AUGAAAGAAAGACGAGUCCAGGCUGCGACCCAUAGAGUUGUCUGCUGCAGCCCUGACAACAAGGAUGGGACCCAAGCCCCAACACAGGCAACCCAUAGAGUUGUCUGCUGCAGCCCUGACAACAAGGAUGGGACCCAAGCCCCAACACAGGCAACCCAUAGAGUUGUCUGCUGCAGCCCUGACAACAAGGAUGGGACCCAAGCCCCAACACAGGCAACCCAUAGAGUUGUCUGCUGCAGGCCUGACAACAAGGAUGGGACCCAAGCCCCAACACAGGCAACCCAUAGAGUUGUCUGCUGCAGCCCUGACAACAAGGAUGGGACCCAAGCCCCAACACAGGCAACCCAUAGAGUUGUCUGCUGCAGCCCUGACAACAAGGAUGGGACCCAAGCCCCAACACAGGCAACCCAUAGAGUUGUCUGCUGCAGGCCUGACAACAAGGAUGGGACCCAAGCCCCAACACAGGCAACCCAUAGAGUUGUCUGCUGCAGCCCUGACAACAAGGAUGGGACCCAAGCCCCAACACAGGCAACCCAUAGAGUUGUCUGCUGCAGCCCUGACAACAAGGAUGGGACCCAAGCCCCAACACAGGCAACCCAUAGAGUUGUCUGCUGCAGGCCUGACAACAAGGAUGGGACCCAAGCCCCAACACAGGCAACCCAUAGAGUUGUCUGCUGCAGCCCUGACAACAAGGAUGGGACCCAAGCCCCAACACAGGCAACCCAUAGAGUUGUCUGCUGCAGCCCUGACAACAAAGAUGGGACCCAAGCCCCAACACAGGCAACCCAUAGAGUUGUCUGCUGCAGGCCUGACAACAAGGAUGGGACCCAAGCCCCAACACAGGCAACCCAUAGAGUUGUCUGCUGCAGCCCUGACAACAAGGAUGGGACCCAAGCCCCAACACAGGCAACCCAUAGAGUUGUCUGCUGCAGCCCUGACAACAAGGAUGGGACCCAAGCCCCAACACAGGCAACCCAUAGAGUUGUCUGCUGCAGCCCUGACAACAAGGAUGGGACCCAAGCCCCAACACAGGCAACCCAUAGAGUUGUCUGCUGCAGCCCUGACAACAAGGAUGGGACCCAAGCCCCAACACAGGCAACCCAUAGAGUUGUCUGCUGCAGCCCUGACAACAAGGAUGGGACCCAAGCCCCAACACAGGCAACCCAUAGAGUUGUCUGCUGCAGCCCUGACAACAAGGAUGGGACCCAAGCCCCAACACAGGCAACCCAUAGAGUUGUCUGCUGCAGCCCUGACAACAAAGAUGGGACCCAAGCCCCAACACAGGCAACCCAUAGAGUUGUCUGCUGCAGGCCUGACAACAAGGAUGGGACCCAAGCCCCAACACAGGCAACCCAUAGAGUUGUCUGCUGCAGCCCUGACAACAAGGAUGGGACCCAAGCCCCAACACAGGCAACCCAUACCAAACACAUACUAGUAUGGAUGAAAACAUCUAUACAGUUACGUAUCGAAAUUUUAUUUUUGGACAAUAUUCUAUCGACAUUUGACUCCAAGUAUCAAUUUGUAAUGUUUUUAGUUUUGCUACUGCUGGUAGCAUUAGAUAGCUCUAGUCGGCUGUAUCUAUGCCAAAACGCUGCUAUUCUUCAUCCUACAGAGGGUAGUGUGAACGGCACAGUACAUCACUGGGGCAAAGCUGACUGCCAUCCAGGACCUCUACACCAGGCGGUGUCAGAGGAAGGACGGUGA
rnacentral:lncRNA from 1 species